rnacentral:piRNA from 1 species
UCGAAGGUAUCUAUUAACUGGAGAACUGGUC